GGUUGUGAUCAUACCAGCACUAAUGCAUCGGAUCCCAUCAGAACUCCGCAGUUAAGCUUGCUUGGGCGAGAGUAGUACUAGGAUGGGUGACCCCCUGGGAUGUCCUCAUGUUGCAUUUUU
rnacentral:rRNA from 1 species